rnacentral:lncRNA from 1 species
GUUGGAAGAUGCUGCACAUCAGCUGCUAAUCUGUGAAGGAAGGGUUCCCAGGGCAUCCACACCUCGGAGCUAGAAACAAACACACAUGUAUUUAUUUACACUGCGAUAGUCUCCAAAGGCUCCAUUCAGCCCUGUGGUUAAAGCAAACAUCCAAUGAGAAACGUAAGUCCAGAGUUCAAGCGGCAGCGAUCAAUGCGCUGAGUUCAUAUGCCGGCAAACGCCAGCAUGUGGGUACCCACAAAACAGAGAAGUGCUCUCCGGACUCCAGCAGCACUGCAAGGUAUAAUUGCUUCCUCCAUUAAAUUGCAUGGUAUUUGAUGUAUGGAAAUGUAUUUCCCCUUGCAUAGGAUUUCUACCC